rnacentral:tRNA from 1 species
GAGUCGUGGCUCAGUGGUUAGAGCACAGGCCUCUGGCUCUCUGGUCCGCGAGUUCGAGUCCCGUCGUCUACU